rnacentral:rRNA from 1 species
AUUGAACGCUGGCGGCAGGCCUAACACAUGCAAGUCGAGCGGAUGAAGGGAGCUUGCUCCUGGAUUCAGCGGCGGACGGGUGAGUAAUGCCUAGGAAUCUGCCUGGUAGUGGGGGAUAACGUCCGGAAACGGGCGCUAAUACCGCAUACGUCCUGAGGGAGAAAGUGGGGGAUCUUCGGACCUCACGCUAUCAGAUGAUCCUAGGUCGGAUUAGCUAGUUGGUGGGGUAAAGGCCUACCAAGGCGACGAUCCGUAACUGGUCUGAGAGGAUGAUCAGUCACACUGGAACUGAGACACGGUCCAGACUCCUACGGGAGGCAGCAGUGGGGAAUAUUGGACAAUGGGCGAAAGCCUGAUCCAGCCAUGCCGCGUGUGUGAAGAAGGUCUUCGGAUUGUAAAGCACUUUAAGUUGGGAGGAAGGGUAGUAAGUUAAUACCUUGCUGUUUUGACGUUACCAACAGAAUAAGCACCGGCUAACUUCGUG